rnacentral:piRNA from 1 species
AUACUUUGUAAUAAAACUUGAACAUGU